UACGGGAGCAGCAGUAGGGAAUCUUCCGCAAUGGACGAAAGUCUGACGGAGCAACGCCGCGUGAACGAUGAAGGCUUUCGGGUCGUAAAGUUCUGUUGUUAGGGAAGAACAAGUACCAGAGUAACUGCUGGUACCUUGACGGUACCUAACCAGAAAGCCACGGCUAACUACGUGCCAGCAGCCGCGGUAAUACGUAGGUGGCAAGCGUUGUCCGGAAUUAUUGGGCGUAAAGCGCGCGCAGGUGGUUCCUUAAGUCUGAUGUGAAAGCCUACGGCUCAACCGUGGAGGGUCAUUGGAAACUGGGGACUUGAGUGCAGAAGAGGAAAGUGGAAUUCCACGUGUAGCGGUGAAAUGCGUAGAGAUGUGGAGGAACACCAGUGGCGAAGGCGACUUUUCUGGUCUGUAAACUGACACUGAGGCGCGAAAGCGUGGGGAGCGAACAGGGAUUAGAUACC
rnacentral:rRNA from 1 species